CCCGCCGCAGGGGUGUCGCACGCCGCCGCGCCGGCACAGCCUCGGCUCUCGCCUUGCGCGCACUCGGCUGGCGCUGGCAGCCCCGCCGGGUUCAUCCGAGGACAGCGGCGGCUCCGCGCCGCGGCUCGUCUGGCUGCCAACGCCGCGGCGAGGCUGACGCUGCCGCGGCCGGGGGUGACUCACGGCGGCCCGCGGCAGCCGCCGGCUAGCGGAUCCGACAGGCGAGCGGGCGCAUCGCGGGCCCGCUCCUCGCCCCCUUCCCCGGGCACCACCCGUCUCACCCAUGCCCCCUCCCCGACCCCCUCCGCUUCUGCCAAGUGGAAUAAACGCCCGGGUUUCCGACAAAUAUUCACCCUUCCGACACCGAGCGGGAGGCCGCCCCCCUCCCGGCCGGCACCCCCGUCGGAGGCGGGCCGGGGUCCGUCCCGCGGCCGGCAGCGCUCCCGGCGGCACCGGCCCCAACUCUCCAUGCUUAUAUAACAGCUCUCAAGAGGAAGCUGCUAACAAGCCCAUCUGAUUGUUUGUGCCAGCUGUUUUAGUGGAAGCAUGCUGGAUGUGACUGAGCUCCACCUUCUUUGUUGAGGAGACAUCAGCUAAGGAAAACUCCAGUGAAGAUCUGCUGCCUCAGCUUCUGUUGGAGGGACAAUAGAUAAGAUCCUGAAUUCCACCAUCUCAUGGUCACUGCAAUCAAGUCACCCAACCUUCUCUCUGACCACUUCUUCUGUAUUUACUCCUUUUGUUUGUGGCACCAGGAGGACAGCUUGAUGUUUCUCCACGAUGUGCUUGUUAAAAGAUGAGAGAUAUCUGGAAAAAAAUUAGACUUUUUGUGGAAAAAAAAAAAAAAAAAGCAACUGACCAAUAAGCUACCUAGAAACUUUGCCUGGAACAGCACAUAAUUUACUGGCACUUUGGAUCUGCAGGAGAAAACCAGAAUGUUUCCACCAUCAAAGGUCUCUUGGAGCUGUUGAAAGAAGGCUGGAAUAGUCCUGCUUUUUGGACUUUCUUUUCUUAAGAGCCACAUGAAUACUUUCAAUUCUGUCCUCUUCAUGUCCAGCUGUGACAAGGUCUCCAUUUAGUUGAUUUUGGAAAGUGUGAAGUGUUUGAGAGGAUUAGAGACAGCAGAAGAAGAGGAAUUCAGAGUUUCUGGGUGGAGCACUUCAGCCAAUCAUAUUUAUUUAAGAAGAUCUCUCAGACAUUUGAACUUGACCCUGUUUCCUGCCAAUAACACCUGGCAAGAGAGCUAGGUUCCUCUAAGCAGCAGUUCUGGACCACAGAAAUCUCUGUAUCUGUAAGAUAAGAUUUCUCUCUGAAGAGGUGAGGAGCCUGGAGAGAAGAUGAGGUGAUGAGACCAUGCAAAUCAUUCUGUAGCACAGAGCAAAGAGUGAUUAUCUUUUUCUCUGACCCUCUAUCAUAACCAGUGCACAAGAGAAAAAGUGGAAAAAAUUGAAAUUUGUCAAGAAGUGUGCAUGCUGUUCACACUGAUCAUAAUGUUUCCUCUGGUAAUCUUGCAAGUUUUGCUGAUUUUGCUCUUAGAAGUACAAGCUCUGAGAGACAUCACCUUUAAGUUAUUUUCAUCCCACUUAGCUAGGAUAUGUACUUAACUCAUUUUAAUAUAUACAUCAUUUUCUGACUGUGUGAAAUGAAUACCUGACAUUUAUCCUAGAAAGUUGUUAGAUGAUUAUAGAUAAAGCCAAAUUUUCAGCUUAAUUAUUGAAUAAUGUAUAUGCGGAUUUUUUUUUUAAAUUGUGAAUUCUAUAAUUUACUUCAAUUCUGUGUUUUAAAUUUAAAUCUUAUGACCUAUGGUGUAAUUCUUUCCCUGGCUUAUGUUUUCCAGUACCAGCACAUUACAAUCCAGAUCUUUCAUAUCUGAUCCUGUUUAUGUCACUAGCAAAAGCUCCUUGCUGUGUUUACUUCAUCACAGAUGUGCAUUGUAGGAAUUUGAAGAGAUCUUCAAAUACCUCUUGGUCUAUUUUGCCUUCCAAACAGACAAUCCCUGCAAGUGCUCUGAUUUUAAUUUAAAGUAUAUGCAUCACUUGCUGACAUAAAACAAGUUAGUCUUGGCCCUGAUGUUAUAGAUUGUCAGGAAACAUUUUAUAUGGAGAAACAAUGAACAAUGAGUAUAUGAUAUAACUUGUGGAAAAGUUGUGCUCCUGUCUGUUUCACUCAGACAUUAUUUCCACUUCUUAUGGUCUUUGCUGCCAGUGUUUUCCAAAAUAGCAAAAUAAGAACUCAAGAAGAAAAUAUGAGUGAGGGACAACAUGUACUCGCAGCAGCCUGAGGCUUUAUUUUGGGCUUUUUAUUAAGGACUUCACUUCACUUCUGCAAAAUUUAAGUACAUCAUAUUAUGUGACAAAUCUCAAACCAGGACAGGGAGUGUGCCACAUAAUUGUACUUUAGUACCAAUGAAAUAUAAUUAAAGGUAGUGGUGGAAGACCACGGUUCUCCAGAAAAGAUUGCAGGGGUGUGAGAUAGCCAGUUUUUCCCCUUUAUAGCAAUCACAUAGUAAAUAAUUGGGAUUUUUUUUUUCUUUUCUGUACACAUAGCUAACUCCUCUAUUCCAAUUCAGAAGUGUUACAUUUGACUAAGAUAGCUUAUGUUGGUCAUUUCACAGGUUCCUAACAGCCAGAGCCUUGCCUUUUCCUGCUCAUGCCUGGGGGCAGCAGUGGUUCUCUGCAGUCACCAUCUGCCUUUCAACCUUUCAUACAUCUUUAUAUUUUUUUAAGACAGCUGGAGACCUUUUUGUUCUUUAAGUUCAGCCCAAUGUAAACAGUGAGAGCACAGAGGAGCAACUGUAUCUUUACCAUGCAUCUUCACUAUCAAAAGGCAGGCUUUGUCUUUAUCCAGAAAGGAUUUUGCUUCUAAAAAGGUCUUGAAAUCCUUCUUUUUAGAAGGAUUUUUUACAUUAAAAAAACACAACCCAAACCUAACAAAAACCACAAACAAACAAAUAAACAAACAUAAUCCCCACCAAACACAUUUUAUGUAAGGGACACUGCAAUUUGAUUGUGAUAUAGUUUCACAUAAAUAUGUUGAACUGAAUUGAUGGAAAGGGAAAUAAUGAAGUACAAUAGCAUUUCAUUCUUAAAUAGAGCUACAUAUUACCAUGAGAAAAGUAGUUAACAGGAAGUUAAAAAGGAGCAGCUAGAAAGACAAAUUUUUUAUAGCUCACAUGGAGAAAGUUUAAAACCACCACAUCAGAGGAUUGCAGCUAAUGAACAGUGCUAAUUAAACAGAACCAUUCAACGAAAACAGAACCAUUCAAUGAAAACCCAACCACAAAAUAAGAAGCAUUCAGCUUCAUGAAACAGCCAAAUUAAAGACGAAAGUAGCUCUUAAAAAUACAUCCUCCCAAAUAGUCAUAUAUAGUUGUGGGAAAUGGAAAAGGGCAUGAGAGCAACCAAAGGAAGAGCAAAGAGUACUAAAGAUGGGAAAAACCUGUAGAAAUUUGGGAAGCUGUGAAGAGGCAGCUUCCAGAUAAUUUAUUUGUUCACAAAUGAUCAGUAUGCAACAGGAAUUCUUAAGCAGGAUGAAGGUAUAGUAGGAAAGAAAUCUGAAAUCUUGGCAUCAUCUUCCCUUAUAGAGGAACAGUUUUGGAGAAUUGCUGAGAGCAGACAGGAUAUCAACAUGCUGCUUUGAAUGAUGCAUAUUUUGAACAGAGUGUGUAGAUCUGGUCAUUCCAUACAGUAGAACUGAAACUAAAGUGGACAAAGUAGAUCUAGGAAAGGCAUAGAGAAGAACAAGGAUAACCAGAAAUUUGAAACAAUUAUUCCACGUAAAGCAGCAAAAAAGAAAUGACUUUUCAACUUGAAAGAUCUAUGAACAGUGAAGUAAUAAAUAAGAAAACUGUUGAGCUUUUCCCUCUAAAUACAAGCAUGGAGACAUGGAAGUUUCAAAGCAAUAAAAAGAAAUAGUUUUUAAAAUAUCUUUCACAAACUUAAAUAUUUACAUUACACAACUCAUUGGUACAUUAUGCUGAGGAGACAACAAUUCUCUUCAACAAGCAGAGAAACAAAAAAAGUUUCAAACCAAACAAAAUUAGCAAAGAAAUAAACAGAUUGAUAGGGCAUACACUAAUUAAACAUACCAGUCUGGAUCAAAACAUCAGUUCAGGAAGUCCAUGAACUUAAAGAAGUAGGGGAAAUAUAGCAGGGGAAAUACAAAAAACAGAGUAUGUUAAUAACUAAAACAAUCUAUAAAACCACAUUUUUUUGUUCCUUAUGAAAUUAUCCAUUUCUUUAUCACUAACAUAAGCAGAAUAUUUAAUGAUCAAUGCUUAUAUUCUUCUGUAUAUUUGUUGUUCAAUACACACACCAGUAAAAAUUUUGGUGGCUAUGCAGAAUUUUUUUGGGUGUUGCCAAGCUUGGAAUGUUUGAUGGUGAAUUAGACACUGAUGGCUUUCCUGUCCUUCACCCCUUCCUUUCUUCUUGUCUUCCACCAUGUUUUGCCAAAAAGAGGGAUUUCAUUUCUUGAAUAAAAAUGAUGCUUCAUUUAACCUCU